rnacentral:rRNA from 1 species
GACCAACGCUGGCGGCAUGCCUAACACAUGCAAGUCGAACGGACAGAACAGGGAAGCUUUUCGGAGUGGAACUGGAAAGUUAGUGGCGGAUGGGUGAGUAACGCGUGGACAACCUACCUUGUAAAGGGGAAUAACCUCGAGAAAUCGAAGCUAAUACCCCAUAAUAACCUUGCUUCGCAUGAAGUAAGGAGGAAAGGCGGCCUUAGCGCUGUCGAUACAAGAUGGGUCCGCGUCUGAUUAGCUAGUUGGUGAGGUAAAGGCUCACCAAGGCGACGAUCAGUAGCCGGCAUGAGAGGGUGAACGGCCACAUUGGGACUGAGAAAGGGCCCAAACGCCUCCGGGAGGCAGCAGUGGGGAAGCGUCCGCAAGGGGCGAAGGCCUGACGGAGCAAUGCCGCGUGAGUGAAGAAGGCCUUCGGGUUGUAAAACUCUGUCCUUAUCGAAGAGAGAGUGUUGUAGUAACUGACAAUACUAGGACGGUAGAUGAGGAGGAAGCCCCGGCUAACUAUGUG